rnacentral:lncRNA from 1 species
GAAGAACCAGUCCCCAAAGAAGGGAGCCAACCGCAGUCCCCCCGCCGCGCCGGAGCUACCUCCGACUGCCAAAAAAAGUAAAAAUUCUCAUAUUCGCUUGAAAUUUGAUUCCGAGCAUCCCCAUAGCCAAAUCAGAGCAAAAAUGACAGCGGGUGAGUAAAAAAUCGCGAGUAAAGCCCGGCGGCACCGCCACGGACAAAACCCGAAACCUUCUCCGAUGAGUCUCUUCUUAUUUUUUGUUUCGUACAAUUUUUUCACCAAUGUUCACCGUUCUGUUUUCUACAGGUUAAGCAAAGAAAAACGUCCAGCCGCAAAUGUGAGCCGAUGGAAUCACCGCACCAAAAAAUUCCAUCGUCGGUAGAUUUCUGUUUUUUGACUUUUUUUUGCCAACCAAUGCCCCAUAACGUGUUUUCUCGCAGGGAUAUGUAUAAAAUCGGUCAAAAUUAGUCAAAACUGACCAAAAACGACCAGACCGAGGUAAACCACCGUCGCGGGCGGCUGUGCCGUCAUUGGAGCACGGCGGUGUUGCUAUG